rnacentral:rRNA from 1 species
UACGUAGGGUGCGAGCGUUGUCCGGAAUUACUGGGCGUAAAGAGCUCGUAGGUGGUUUGUCGCGUUGUUCGUGAAAUCUCACGGCUUAACUGUGAGCGUGCGGGCGAUACGGGCAGACUAGAGUACUGCAGGGGAGACUGGAAUUCCUGGUGUAGCGGUGGAAUGCGCAGAUAUCAGGAGGAACACCGGUGGCGAAGGCGGGUCUCUGGGCCGAUACUGACGCUGAGGUGCGAAAGCGUGGGGAGCAAACAGG